CACGUAGGCACCAAGCGUUGUCCGGAUUUAUUGGGCGUAAAGAGCUCGUAGGCGGUUCGGUAAGUCGGGUGUGAAAACUCUGGGCUCAACCCAGAGCCGCCACCCGAUACUGCUGUGACUCGAGUGCGGUAGGGGAGUGGGGAAUUCCUGGUGUAGCGGUGAAAUGCGCAGAUAUCAGGAGGAACACCAGUGGCGAAGGCGGCUCACUGGCCCGUAACUGACGCUGAGGUGCGAAAGCGUGGGGAGCAAACAGG
rnacentral:rRNA from 1 species